UACAGAGGGGGCAAGCGUUGUUCGGAAUUACUGGGCGUAAAGGGCUCGUAGGCGGCCAACUAAGUCAGACGUGAAAUCCCUCGGCUUAACCGGGGAACUGCGUCUGAUACUGGAUGGCUUGAGAUUGGGAGAGGGAUGCGGAAUUCCAGGUGUAGCGGUGAAAUGCGUAGAUAUCUGGAGGAACACCGGUGGCGAAGGCGGCAACCUGGACCAACACUGACGCUGAGGAGCGAAAGCAAGGGGAGCAAACAGG
rnacentral:rRNA from 1 species